rnacentral:rRNA from 1 species
GAUGAACGCUAGCGGGAGGCCUAAUACAUGCAAGUCGAACGGUAACAGGAAUAGCAAUAUUUGCUGACGAGUGGCGUACGGGUGCGUAACACGUACACAAUCUGCCUUAUACUGGAGCAUACCCCCAAGAAAUUGGGACUAAUUCUCCAUAAUAUAUUUUGAGGGGCAUCCUUUGAAUAUUAAAAACUCCGGUGGUAUAAGAUGAGUGUGCGCCCGAUUAGAUAGUUGGUGAGGUAACGGCUCACCAAGUCAACGAUCGGUAGCUGGUCUGAGAGGACGAUCAGCCACACGGGCACUGAGACACGGGGCCCCGACUCCUACGGGAGGCAGCAGUAGGGAAUAUUGGACAAUGGGCGCAAGCCUGAUCCAGCCAUCCCGCGUGAAGGAUGAAGGUGCUCUGCAUUGUAAACUUCUAGUCGGCCGGGAAGAACCGGC